rnacentral:rRNA from 1 species
UACGAAGGGGGCUAGCGUUGCUCGGAAUUACUGGGCGUAAAGCGCACGUAGGCGGAUCUUUAAGUCAGGGGUGAAAUCCUGGAGCUCAACUCCAGAACUGCCUUUGAUACUGAGAGUCUUGAGUCCGGGAGAGGUGAGUGGAACUGCGAGUGUAGAGGUGAAAUUCGUAGAUAUUCGCAAGAACACCAGUGGCGAAGGCGGCUCACUGGCCCGGUACUGACGCUGAGGUGCGAAAGCGUGGGGAGCAAACAGG